GUGUCAGCAGCCGCGGUAAUACGUAGGUGGCAAGCGUUGUCCGGAAUUAUUGGGCGUAAAGGGUGUGCAGGCGGAUUCUUAAGUGAGAUGUGAAAUCCCAGGGCUUAACUUGGGGGGUGCAUUUGAAACUGGAUGUCUUGAGUGCAGAAGAGGAAAGCAGAAUUCCAAGUGUAGCGGUGAAAUGCGUAGAGAUUAGGAAGAAUACCAGUGGCGAAGGCGGCUUUCUGGUCUGCAACUGACGCUGAGGCACGAAAGCGUGGGGAGCAAACAGGAUUAGAUACCCUGGUAGUCCAUGCCGUAAACGAUGAAUACUAGGUGUAAGGGGUUUC
rnacentral:rRNA from 1 species